rnacentral:tRNA from 1 species
UAUAUUAAGGUGUAAGAUGCACAUUAGUUUUUGAAACUAAAAGAGAUAGUUUGAUUCUAUCUAUUAUAA